rnacentral:misc_RNA from 1 species
AAUUAGAAAUAUUGUCUGGAUUUCUAUUUUGAGAAAGAAAAUGAUCCACUUACCUUUUCUAUGAAGAGGUAUUUAUAAUUUAUCAGCCUGGGCAACCUUUUGCAUCUUCUCUGCUUGCUUCUGAAGACACUUUUUUCAUGGAAUCGAAGAAACAUUCAAGUCAUUUUAGCCUCUGGGUUUUCCCCCCUUGAAAAUGAGCCAUUUUUCCGGUUUGCUAUCCGGUGUGAAGGUCCCAAGAAGAUUAUAUUUGAUCUGCAAAUGUCCAUUAUCUAGUGCAAAAGGCUCAGGUGGAUCAUGAUUUAAUAUAAAUCAUAGGGUCAGCCCAGAGGCUAAAAUGACUUGAAUGUUUC